GCUCGGCGCGGACCCGCCCGGGACCGCUCCUCGCAGCAGAUGCCUGGGUCCCACCGCCCUACCCGGCGCCCGCUAUCCGGCCACCUCGGAGGGCACGCUCAGAUACCCGGCCACCUCAGUGGGUGCAUCGAGCACCCUGUGAUUCGACCACACGGCGAGGCGUGCUGGUCACUCGGGUGGGCGUGCUGGGCUUCUCUGCGGCGGAAGUCUAAACCACAGUGUGACUACCCUUCUAGCAGUAGGUGUUCUGACCUCCGACUGCUGCCCUCCUGCCCGAGAGUAGUUCAAACUGAAGGGAAGAAAACAUAUGUGCUUGGUCUGCCAUCUUGAACCAGAAGUCUGAAAGAGGGUUCUGAACGCUGCUCACAAGGAUCUCUUAGAGGGAGGAUAACAGACCACCAAGGCAUCUGUACCAUAAACAUUUGCACAAGACGUAAUGAAGAAUGCGACGGUUUCGGGAAGACACUGGAGAGCUCUGCUGUGCCCACAGGAUCUCACUGACUGAGCUAGAGCUGCUGUUGAGAAAGCCCCAGAAGCCUCUCAUCUUCCACCCCUCAACACCUGUAAUACAGGUGAGCCAGCCCUGCAGAUCUGAGGUCUGAGGGCUUGAACUCAAGUCCUGUGGCCUUGCAUGAAGCACUUUCCUGACUGCGCCAUUUCCCCAGCUCCUUAAACACACUGUUGAGGUGUCGUGGAUAGUCAGGGACUCCAAGGGACCUCAGUCGUGCUGGCUGCAGUGGGUCCUCAGCUACUGCCGCUGCAGCAAUAUUCCAGUGAAGUCCAGUCAUGGUCUGCAAGGCCAGCAGUCCCUGUGCCCAGGAGAUGGCUGAGCCACCUGA